GCUGGGUGUGGUGGCUCACACCUGUAAUCCCAGCACUUUGGGAGGCCAAGGCGGGUGGAUCACUGGAGGCCAGGAGUUCAAGACUGGCCUGGCCAACAUGGUGAGAUCCCGUCUCUA
rnacentral:SRP_RNA from 1 species